rnacentral:misc_RNA from 1 species
GAUGAAGAACGCAGCGAACGUGCGAAACGUAAUGUGAAUUGCAGAAUUCAGUGAAUCAUCGAAUCUUUGAACGCAUCUUGCGCUCCUUGGUAUUCCGAGGAGCAUGCCUGUUUGAGUGUCGUGAAUACUCUCAACUUCAACCCUUUUUUCGGAAAGGGAGGAAGGUUGGACUUGGGUGUUCGUUGAAGUGCGAGCUUCGACUCAUCCUAAAUGCAUUAGCGAUCUGCCUCGAUCACACACAAUGUGAUAAUUAAAACUAAAGCAUUGUUUAAUGAUCAAGUCGAGACUGCUUCUAACUGUCGCAAGACAAUAACGUGCAUACAUUUGUGCAUGUCAUUUGACCUCAAAUCAGGUAGGACUACCCGCUGAACUUAAGCAUAUCAAUAAGCGGAGGA